GACGAACGCUGGCGGCGUGCUUAACACGUGCAAGUCGAACGGAAAGGCCCUGCUUUUGUGGGGUGCUCGAGUGGCGAACGGGUGAGUAACACGUGAGUAACCUGCCCUUGACUUUGGGAUAACUUCAGGAAACUGGGGCUAAUACCGGAUAGGAGCUCCUGCUGCAUGGUGGGGGUUGGAAAGUUUCGGCGGUUGGGGAUGGACUCGCGGCUUAUCAGCUUGUUGGUGGGGUAGUGGCUUACCAAGGCUUUGACGGGUAGCCGGCCUGAGAGGGUGACCGGCCACAUUGGGACUGAGAUACGGCCCAGACUCCUACGGGAGGCAGCAGUGGGGAAUAUUGCACAAUGGGCGGAAGCCUGAUGCAGCAACGCCGCGUGCGGGAUAACGGCCUUCGGGUUGUAAACCGCUUUCGCCUGUGACGAAGCGUGAGUGACGGUAAUGGGUAAAGAAGCACCGGCUAACUACGUG
rnacentral:rRNA from 1 species